rnacentral:rRNA from 1 species
AUCGAACGCUGGCGGCAGGCCUAACACAUGCAAGUCGAGCGGAUGAGGGAAGCUUGCUUCCUGAUUUAGCGGCGGACGGGUGAGUAAUGCCUAGGAAUCUGCCUAUUAGUGGGGGCUAACGUUCCGAAAGGAAAGCUAAUAACGCAUACGUCCUACGGGAGAAAGUGGGGGAUCGUCGGACCUCACGCUAAUAGAUGAGCCUAGGUGGGAGUAGGUAGUUGGUGGGGUAACGGCGCACCAAGGCGACGAUCCGUAGCUGGUCUGAGAGGAUGAUCAGCCACACUGGAACUGAGACACGGUCCAGACUCCUACGGGAGGCAGCAGUGGGGAAUAUUGGACAAUGGGCGAAAGCCUGAUCCAGCCAUGCCGCGUGUGUGAAGAAGGUCUUCGGAUUGUAGAGCACUUUAAGUUGGGAGGAAGAGUUGUAAGCUAAUAUCUUGCAGCUUUGACGUUACCAACAGAAUAAGCACCGGCUAACUCUGUGCCAGCCGCCGCCGUAAAAC